CAUACAUACUUAUUUUAAGAUUGCCAAGAGCAAAAUCUAUCUAAUUUCUUUACUGUGAACAUGCAGAACUGAGGGAAGUCAGGCAGUGCAGCAGACAAUGCAAAACUGCUAAAAUAAAAAAUAAAAUAAUAGUAUGCUGUUCCCCUUUUCAAUUCUGUAUGAAACACAGAAUGAUUUGGGUUGGAAGGAACUUAAAAGAUGAUCUAGUUCCAACGCCCUUCCAUGGGGAGGGACACCUUCUACUAGACCAGGUUACUCAAAGCCACAUCCAGCCUGGCCUUGAACACUUCCAGAGAUGGGACAGCCACAGCUCUGAGCAUCCUGUGCCAGUGCCUCACCACCUUCACAGUGGAAUUGUCAAAGUUGAUUUGUAGCUGGAUUUAAAGACCAUUUAAAAUUUGGUGGAUGCAUGCCUGCAGUUUUCUUUCUCCUUUCCUCAUCUGUGUUUAGUGACUGGUAAAUGACCUGGUGUAAGGCACCACUUAAAGAAAGUUUCUUCUAAAUGUCCAGCCUCAGUGCUUCCUGCUGCACUUCAAGUCCCUCACUGUCAUACAUCUCUUAGUGCCUUUGUGCAUCUCAGUGAAUCUCUUAGUGCCUUUGAGUGCUCAGUCCCCUUUUCUGAAGGUUGAACAUCUUUCCUAGACCUACAGUGGCUCUUAGUCUAUUUGCCCAUGUAGCCAUUCAGGGUAUAGUGCAGGCAGAUGGGAAGGGAGUGUUAGGGUUGCAUUGGGACUCUCUGCUCACCUUAAUGUGUGGUGAGGUCAAGGAAAGGAAAGGGAGAAGAACAACUGUCAUAAUUCAUUAAAACAGAAAACAGUUUGGGUUUUUUGUUUGCCAAAGCUCAGUGAAAAAUGGGUUUCUAUUAGAUAAGGGCAGGUUCUGUUGGGACCAUAGAAACCUCACUGUUCCUCCUGGGGUUCUGUUUUACCCCAGUAUGUCAGGCAGGUUUCUGGAGAAUAUAUAGUCAUAAAUGGAGUCCCCUCUUGAAAAUGGCAACCCCUGGUGCCUGGUGAGCUGUACUGUGUGUCGUGGGGUGACAGCCUUUAUCCCAAUAUCGUGUGUUGUGUCUGGCAGCUGCGCCUUUUCCUCCCCGGCCGUCUUGCCGCGGCGGGGCGGGGAGGGAGGGAGGGGUGUGAGUGUGACCAGGCACCUUGGCCUUUGCUUUUGGC